rnacentral:rRNA from 1 species
UACGUAGGGGGCGAGCGUUAUCCAGAUUUACUGGGCGUAAAGCGCGUGUAGGCGGCUGGUUAGGUGUGAUGUGAAAUCUUCGGGCUCAACCCGAAAACUGCAUUGCAAACCGGCCUGGCUAGAGUGCAGGAGAGGGAAGCGGAAUUCCAGGUGUAGCGGUGAAAUGCGUAGAUAUCUGGAGGAACACCGGUGGCGAAGGCGGCAUCCUGGACCGGCAUUGACGCUGAGGCGCGAAAGCCAGGGGAGCAAACGGG